GCUGGAUUUCUUUUUAAAGGGAGACAUGAGUAAUUUUACAACAUGGAGAAUCCAUUUGAUGAGGAGGCUGAAGACAAAUAAAGUAGGCCAUUUCCUUUGGAUUCUAUUAAUGUGACUGAGAAGAAAUCUGUUGGAGAAAUUAUAGCAAGAGUAAAAGCAACAGAUCGAGAUGAAGAUAGCAGUAUCAUUUAUUCCUUUAAGACUCAGCAGAAAAUGUUUGGUUUGGACCCCUGAACAAUCACUCUUCUUCAGCCUUUGAAUCUUGACAACCCAAGUAACUCCAAAAUCUACUCUUUGGAAACUGAGGCAACAGAUAAUGGGAAUAAUACCAGCAGCUAUAUGUUUACAGUUUUUGUGGAGAAUGUAGAUGAUCCUAUUUCCUGUGAUCCAAGUUUUUUAACAGGAGCAGUCUUCCAAAAUUAUAGUAAACUUUAAAAAGAUACACGUGGAUCUCAAGAAGGUCAUUUUGACCCGAUUUCUACUACAAGCUUGGCUGAACCAGCAUAAACUGCUAGAGCAGUACCAAGAUCGGGAUGUCUUCCUCUUCCGUCAUCUGGGCUGUGGGCCUUGGGACAUAAGAGAAGCGAGGACAAGAAGUCACUUUCUGUUUAAAGUAGGGCAACUCUGUGGGUCUCUGUGACCAAGAAUUACCAAAGACAUUGACAUGAUUUUCAAGCUGCUGAUUUGACACACACGUAUUCAAUUCAUUUACUGGGUUUAAUUAUCCAGUUGCUAUAAUUAACCAGAACAAAUCACUAAAUUAGAGAAUCUGCCUACACAUGUUCAGUUUGAAACAAAGGUUCAAAAUAAGCAAGUCCUAGUCGCACCAAAGUUGUUCUAUAACAUCCUUAGAAAGUCCUGUAAAGAGACCCUUACAGGACUACCCAGUCUAGAUUGUGAUACAAUAUUCACUGGAUUUGAUAUCCAAGAUUCAGCUGCACAGUAAACAUUAAGC
rnacentral:lncRNA from 1 species